GAUGCCCAAGCACAAGUGGCUGAGUUCCGAGUGACUUUAGGAAGCGCUUUCCUGCCUCCCUCCUUCAGGAAAACGGGGGAUUCUGCACCUGUACCAGGGACAGUCUGGCAAAAGCCUGCUCUGCCUCCGGGGACAAGGAAAUAGCACCAAUAACCAUUUUGAAAUUGGAUCUUGGCAAAAUUUGCAACGAAUCCAUAAAGGAAACUGAAAGCAGUUUGAUCUUCAUCUUCAAUGACAGUCCCACAAAAGUUGAAGAACCACGUUAUGUCUCCAAAGAAGAUUACAGUGGUGCCCUAAAAUUAGGACAUGAUUAAGGGGUUUGGGUAAUAUGCCAGUGAUGUACUUUUCAUUGUCAAGGAAUCCAUCUACACAAAAGAGGCACGGGUGCAGCAUCGAGCAGGUGGGGACUUCUGUCAUCUGACAUACGUAUUGAGCUCUGGGGGAGAGAACAAGAAGAAUGCAUAGGACACUGCUCUCAGGGAGGUUACACUUUAGAGUCUGUACUAAUACUGUGCCACCGAUGGGCAACAACAAAAGCUAGGCAAAGACUUUUUAACAGAAACCUCUCCAUUCAUCCCCUCACUGGGACAGGCAACAAAAGAAGCCUCCGUUUCUGAAAUAUUUAGAAGAACAGCAUUAAUGAAGAGUUCAGUUACAAGCUUUGGUUGUGAUUUUGUUUGCUUGUUGAUGGGUGUUUUGCAGAAAAGCCUGAUGCGCUUGAAUUGUCCUUUGAGCAUGAUCUGCUCUAGAAAUAGUGCUGAAUAAGCUUUUUCCUUUUUCUUUCAUUUUUUAAAUAACUUAAUUUUCUAAAAAAAACCUGUCAGUCAGAAAGUUGACUUUUAGAAUUUUGUUAUGUCAUGAUAGAACAAAAUGUAUCAAGGAAGAAAAAAAUAAAUACUAUU